rnacentral:lncRNA from 10 species
AUGCCUUUUUGCCCUGUAUCUAGGUCUGGACAAGGGUAAGUGGUUGAACACAGGCUGCAGGGCGCCCAGCCUCGGCUGGACGCGGGCUCUGGUGGCUGCGUGUCUGGAGCCCUUGCCAUCUCCUCCUGGUGUGUGCCUCCUCUAUGCGGUGCCCGUCUCUCCAGCCAUCCCCAGCCUGUACUUAUAAACGGGUUGCGUUAAUAGCACCCACCCAAUUUCAGUGGAUCUGGUUGCCAGAUGCUCUCCUACAUGUCUGGCUUCUGCAAAACCUUACCUGGUUAGGUCUGAGAGUCGAGUGUGUCCUGAGUGCUCACAAACCCCAGCCACAACCACCACCGACCCCUGCCCACUCCUCCUUUCUUUUGGCCACCCCUCUCCUCUUCUAUGCUGUUUGCCCUUCAGGUCACUAAACAGGUCUGGCCACUGUGGCCGGUGUCCUCUGUGGAAAUGUGGAGAUUCAUGCCAAGAGACUGUUUACUGAAGCUCCCCUCCCUCCCUGGGGCCAUGGAGGUGUGUUCUCUGCAGAUUUGGGGCAAAUAUUCCUCCCUGGGCAGCACUGCCCAGCCCCUGCCUGGGUCUCCCAAGAGCCACCUCUUCAUGUGGCACACACCGGGCCCAAUCCCAUUUCCCUCCUCUCCUUCCAAGUGACCCCUGUCCCUGCGAGCUGCUCAUACAAAUGGAUGCUCGUGUGCUGCCCAGUCCCGCUGGCUGACCCAUCAGACAGUCCUGGGCCAUGUUUUGAUUGCUGGCAGUGAGAGAUACAGAAGGCCCAGCCACUUCCAUGCACCCUGAAUGCUCCUUACAAACACCUUGGGAGGUCCGAUUAUUACCCGCCCCUCUCAGAGAUGGAGAAGCUGAGGCUCAGACAGGCAAAGGAAUCUGCCAAGGUCUCACAUCCAGAACAGGCAGGGCAUCACUGAUCCCACUCUCCUGCCCCAGUCACCACGGUGUGAUGCAUUUGCCUGUGAGCCCAGCCUGCAGCGGAGGUUCACAUGUGGGGUCAGAAAGGAGAGCCCUGUGACAAGAACGCUAGGAAUGCAGGAAGGGGCCUUGAGGUGACCUCAGGAAUUCUUGGCGCCCGCCAGGACAAAUGAUGGGAAUAGCUGGGAGGGUGACAUCCCACCUUGGUAGCCAGUCGUCACCAGCAGCAUGCAUUUGUGCUCCAUCAGGGCUGGAGAAUGACUAAGCUGAGGGCUGAGGGUUAGGAAGAAAAAGAAAGCAUGGAUGUGGCCCAAGGCCACAAGCUCUCUCAGGGGAGAGAAAGGACAGGUGUGAGCUAAGCAGUGACCCCGCAGUCCCCUGAGAGCCAGUGCCUGCUGCCGAGCGAGGGCACUAUAUGUCGUCACCUGGUGUCCAUUCCCCAGGUUGGGGAGCAGACUUCCAGCUUUGCGCCCCAUUUCAGCUGUUUCCCAGCUGUGGACCUUGGGCAAGUCACCUCCCCUUCCUGCGCCUCGGAGUCUCAUCUGUAAAACGAGAAUGUGAGAUCCCCUACUUCAUAAGGGAGUGGGGAAGAUGAAAUGAGACAGAGUCGUACGGGACUUGGCACAUUGUGGGUGUUCAGUAAAUGCAGGUUUCUCUCCUUUCACCACAUGGAUAGCAGCGUCAAUUUCCAUCUGCUUUGAAGAGAGACAAACCCAAGUUUGAAUCCCACCUCUACCAUUUCCUGGCUGUUUAAUCUUGAGAAGCUAUCUCCCCUCCCUGAACCCCAGCUUCAUCUGUAGCGAUGUGAAUAACGCCAGCACACUUUAGGUCUUGUAGCAAGGCUCACCUAAGACAGUAUGUCACGAUUUCUAACAGUUUUCAGGCUCUCAGCCCAGGGUCCCGGGGUCUGGGGGGGACGGAGUUGUUCCAUUUCCAACAAGCUCUUGGUGAUGCUGGUACUGUGGAUCUGGGGACCACACUUUGAGUCAAGUGGUGACGGAGGAAGG